UUCCUUCCGGUCGAUGAGGUAUAACAACCUCAUCGACGGAAGGAAUCCCUUCCGUCGAUGAGGGUGUUUUACUUCAUCGACCGGAAGGAA
rnacentral:miRNA from 1 species